UACGGAGGGGGCUAGCGUUGUUCGGAAUUACUGGGCGUAAAGCGCGCGUAGGCGGAUGAUCAAGUUGGGGGUGAAAGCCCGGGGCUCAACCUCGGAAUUGCCCUCAAAACUGAUUGUCUAGAGUCCGGGAGAGGUGAGUGGAAUUCCUAGUGUAGAGGUGAAAUUCGUAGAUAUUAGGAAGAACACCAGUGGCGAAGGCGGCUCACUGGACCGGUACUGACGCUGAGGUGCGAAAGCGUGGGGAGCAAACAGG
rnacentral:ncRNA from 2 species